UGUACAUCAUAGACUAGUUGAUAAUGUGAUGGCGAGGGCCUGAUAAAAUAUGAGAGACUGAAACGUUCAACAGAUUCUGAGAUUAAACUGCGGAAAGGGAAAUGGGCAGAGGAUAAUCACAGAAAUUACUUAGGCUUUGAUAUUUAUGGUAAAUGGACAGCGAUUAAAUAUAAACAAGCUUAAUUGAGUGUUGGAACCAUCACAAGAAAGAAGGUAGUUGUGAGGUAGUUCUACUUCUACAUGACACAAGCUCAUCAUGUUCAUCAAAUAUAAGUGUUGUGACCCUACUAAUUUCGACUGGAAAUUCAUCUUAUAAUCGUGUAUUUCUGGGGUUGAACAACUGUCACAGGAAGCAGAAUUGCUCUCAUUUUAUGAGUACAAUGUAUAAAGAAAAAGCAACAGACAAAUCUUUCAUUGAAAUAUCGGAAGAUGCCUCAAAUGAUCAAGCUGUGUAGUGAUGAUAAAGAUCCACUGUAUGUUUAUCGAUAAGACAAUGAUAUUGACAGCCAAGAUAGGGUCAACUUGAAAUGUCUUUAAAUGUACGUAUACAAGUAUAGAAAUAUGAUUGUUUUCGUAUCUCACUGGAGUUGUCCCUGGUCUCGAGUCAAUUUUAAAUGUGUCUUCACUAGCCUGGAUGCAAUGAAAUUUAAAUGUUUUUUCCAAUGAGACAAAUUAUGACUUUUAAUUAGGAUAUUUUAUUUUAGACAUCAUACUGGUGAAUUAGAAAACUGCCACCAACAUAUUUUAAAAAAGCUAAGUCUCUAACUCAAUAUCAUCCAAAGUCUUCGACAUUGAAAACACAAAUUAUUUGUCAAUUUAAAUCAACAUUGAUGUUGUGAUCUUACUGGGAAAAGAUGGGCUUCUGAUAUCCAAUAUUUAAGACAAAAUAAACAUUUUACCAUUGGUACACGAAUCGUGUACCAUAAUGCGUUUCAGCGCUAUUUGUAAUAAGGGACUCGAAAAACGAGGCUAGGCAUAGUCCACAAAUCAUGUCAAACAGUGACGUUAUAUUCUUAUCUGGAGAGCAUGCGCAAUAAAUACUAUGUAGACUAGAAUAACCAGAUGCUAGAGAUUGUCAUUUGAUUGAGACUUCUGGCGUAUUUCGCCGAACAUACCUGAUUUGAAAUUAAGAGUAAAAAGGGAAAUGAUUAAAUGUAAAUCAGUUUACAUAUACAUUCAUAUUACAUUAUUAUAUGCGCUGUGACCCAUUUGUGUCAACUUCUAGGUCCCAAGUAUUAGCGAUUUAGCUCAUUUAAUGUACGCUACAAAAAUAUUUUUAAAUACCAGCGACACAAGGACAUGAUAUGGAGUAGGGUUGAUUAUCUAUCCAUCGUGGCUUUUGUUUGGGUCCCCCUUUUUCCUCCCACUGCUACUGACAACUUGGUACCUUAUUUAGUCCAGAAAUGACCUAGUUUGUAUCAAGUGGGUGCUAACCCCCUGCCCACCUGCAUUCCUGGCAAAACAAAAUACAACUUGUUAUUCCAAAUAUUCUUUUUAA